GGCUUAUUGAUAAUAAUUUUAAGUUUGACCUGCCCAAUGAUUGCGUAUUUAAUGGCUGCGGUAUAUUGACCGUGCAAAGGUAGCAUAAUCAUUAGUUUUUUAAUUGAAAGCUUGUAUGAAAGGUUUGAUGAGAAAAUAGCUGUCUCUAUUUAAAAAGUAGAAAUUUAUUUUUAAGUAAAAAAGCUUAAAUGUGUGUAGAAGACGAGAAGACCCUGUAGAGUUUUAUAAUUAGGUGAAUAUUAAGGAUUAUAAAGUAUUAUAAAAUUAAUAUUCAUAAAAUUAUUUGAUUGGGGUGAUAAAAAAAUUAGAUGAACUUUUUUUUUAUAAGUACAUUUAUGUAUGGUUAUUUGAUCCUUUAUUUAGAUUAAAAGAAAAAAUUACCUCAGGGAUAACAGCGUAAUUUUUUUUUUGAGUUCUGAUUAAGAAAAAAGAUUGCGACCUCGAUGUUGGAUUAAAAGGAAUUAUUGGUGAAGAAGCUAAUAAAUUAGGUCUGUUCGACCUUUAAAAUUUUACAUGAUCUGAGUUUAAAUCGGUGUGAG
rnacentral:rRNA from 1 species